CCUCCUACGGGAGGCAGCAGUGGGGAAUAUUGGGCAAUGGACGCAAGUCUGACCCAGCAACGCCGCGUGAAGGAAGAAGGCUUUCGGGUUGUAAACUUCUUUUAAGGGGGAAGAGCAGAAGACGGUACCCCUUGAAUAAGCCACGGCUAACUCCGUGCCAGCAGCCGCGGUAAUACGGAGGAUGCGAGCGUUAUCCGGAUUUAUUGGGUUUAAAGGGUGCGUAGGCGGACUGUUAAGUCAGCGGUAAAAGCCCGGGGCUCAACCCCGGCGAGCCGUUGAAACUGGCUGUCUUGAGAUGUCGAGAG
rnacentral:rRNA from 1 species